GGCGACGCUACCAAAGCUCUACCUACAGGAACUGGGAGGGGUUUUAUCACAAAACCAGGGGUCGGGAAGGAAAAAAAAUGCUGGGUAUAAAGGGUUAAAUUGAUCCUAUGCUUAAGAAACUGCUUCUGGGCAUGGCAUAGACUGAGGCUAAACAUACAUUCUGGUUUGCAUCAGACUGUGGAAGCAUGUCCCGAUGUCACUCUCUGGAAGGAGUCUCAGGCCGAAUGAGAGUGAGUGUUCAUUCUGAUGACCAGUGUAAGACUGGCUGGAGCAACCAUACAGGCUGGUAUUUAAAUUACUUCCCUGAUCCUUACUGGAACCAGUGACUGGACAUCCUGCUGAGAACACACAAAGGCAGCUGACAUCCAGCGGGGCCAGAAGAAGUACCAAAGCCACUGAGAAGAGGCAGAGACUGUGUCCAUUUGGGGAGCACAGGGGCUUCUAAGACUGAAACUCUCUUGCCUCACCCCCCAGACCUGCACCAGCCAUAGGAUGCUUCACUUAUUCAUUCAACAUUACUGAGCCUCUCCCACAUGUCAACACUGUGCUAGACAUCAGAUACAUUAGACAUUGAACAAGAAA